AGCGAACGCUGGCGGCAGGCCUAACACAUGCCAGUCGAACGAACUCUUCGGAGUUAGUGGCGGACGGGUGAGUAACACGUGGGAACGUGCCUUUAGGUUCGGAAUAACUCAGGGAAACUUGUGCUAAUACCGAAUGUGCCCUUCGGGGGAAAGAUUUAUCGCCUUUAGAGCGGCCCGCGUCUGAUUAGCUAGUUGGUGAGGUAAAGGCUCACCAAGGCGACGAUCAGUAGCUGGUCUGAGAGGUUGAUCAGCCACAUUGGGACUGAGACACGGCCCAAACUCCUACGGGAGGCAGCAGUGGGGAAUCUUGCGCAAUGGGCGAAAGCCUGACGCAGCCAUGCCGCGUGAAUGAUGAAGGUCUUAGGAUUGUAAAAUUCUUUCACCGGGGACGAUAAUGACGGUACCCGGAGAAGAAGCCCCGGCUAACUUCGUG
rnacentral:rRNA from 1 species